rnacentral:rRNA from 1 species
AUACGGAGGGGGUUAGCGUUGUUCGGAAUUACUGGGCGUAAAGCGCACGUAGGCGGACUGGAAAGUUGGGGGUGAAAUCCCGGGGCUCAACCUCGGAACUGCCUCCAAAACUUCCAAUCUAGAGAUCGAGAGAGGUGAGUGGAAUUCCAAGUGUAGAGGUGAAAUUCGUAGAUAUUUGGAGGAACACCAGUGGCGAAGGCGGCUCACUGGCUCGAUGCUGACGCUGAGGUGCGAAAGCGUGGGGAGCAAACAGGAUUAGAAACCCCAGUAGUCC